rnacentral:rRNA from 1 species
AGCGAACGCUGGCGGCAGGCCUAACACAUGCAAGUCGAACGGCAGCACAGUAAGAGCUUGCUCUUACGGGUGACGCGUGGCGGCCGGGUGAUUAAUACAUCGUAACCUACUUUUACGUGGGGGAAAACGGUGGGAAACUUACGCUAGUACGGCAUAUGACCUACGGGUGAAAGCAGGGUAUCUUCGCACCUUGCGCGGUUGAAUGAGCAGAUGUCGGAUUAGCUAGGUGGGGGGGGAAAGGCCCACCAAGGCGACGAUCCGUAGCUGAUGGGAGAGGAGGAUCAGCCAAACGGGAACGGAGACACGGUCCAGACGCCUAAGGGAGGCAGCAGUGGGGAAUAUUAGACAAUGGGCGCAAGCAUGAUACAGCCAUACCGCGUGGGUGAAGAAGGCGUUCGGGUUGGAAAGCCGUUUUGUUGGGAAAGAAAAGCAGCAGGUUAAUACCCCGCGGUUCUGACGGUACCCAAAGAAUAAGCACCGGCUAACUUCGUG